rnacentral:lncRNA from 1 species
UCAAAUUCCUUGUUAAUAACACGGAAGAUGCAAGAGUGAUCCAAAUGCUAGUGAUAAUGUGUUCUUUUUUUCAAACAAAGACAUAAGAUUUACCUCAUUCAUUAAAUAAGAGGAGAAUAAAUCUAAGUUUUCUUACGACGACGGUAACCAAAGCUUUGCUUCGUCAAGGACGACAUGCUUUUAUCGUAGUGUGGGAUCACCCCAUAAUGUCACUUGCCAAUUUUUCUUCCAGCCUCUCGAAACACACACAUCCUUCUUUUGGAAGCAAGCCUACCUCAUAUCCUCUUCAAUCCAGCAUUUCCGACGAAGUACAAUUUUGACACAUAGCAC